rnacentral:lncRNA from 1 species
CCCUUUCCAUGAAAUAAUGUAAUUAAUGCCUUCAUUCGAUAUAAUCCAUUUUAGAUAAAUCAACAAGUGAUUGCAAAAUACUAAAUUUCAAAAAUAUAAAUUUCAUUAUUAAUAAUAUAAAAACACCUUAAAACUUUCUUGUACAUUCAUAAUACAUUUAUUGAAGCAAAAGUCGUCAACCUUCUGCAACAUUAGGAUGUAAAACGUUUCAGAACGAGUGUGAAGAAGGCACACUGUAUCUUGG